CAAGGAUUGCCUUAGUAACGGCGAGUGAAGCGGCAAAAGCUCAGAUUUGAAAUCUGGUGUCGUUAGACAUCCGAGUUGUAAUCUGUAGAGAAGUACUUUAUGUCAGACAUUAGCUUAAGUCCUUUGGAAUAGGGCGUCAUAGAGGGUGAGAAUCCCGUGCAUGGCUUUUGUUCUGUCAUUUGUAAGUCUUCUUCAACGAGUCGAGUUGUUUGGGAAUGCAGCUCUAAAUGGGUGGUAAAUUUCAUCUAAAGCUAAAUAUUGGCAAGAGACCGAUAGCGCACAAGUAGAGUAAUCGAAAGAUGAAAAGAACUCUGGACAGAGAGUUAAACAGUACGUGAAAUUGUUGAAAGGGAAGCACUUGCUACCAGACACACUUGCAGUUAAUCAGCCUAUAAUUUUAUUGGUGCACUUAGCUGUACGUGGGUCAGCAUCAGUUUUGUUGGAGGGAAAAAGAUUGGAGAAAUGUAGCUUCACUUGUGAAGUAUUAUAGUCUUCGGUUAGUACCACCUGAUGAGACUGAGGACCGCACUUUUGUGAGGAUGCUGACAUAAUGGUCGUAAGUGACCCGUCUUGAAACACGGACCAAGGAGUCUAACAUCUAUGCGAGUAUUUGGGUUAAAAAACCCUUAUGCGAAAUGAAAGUGAAUGUAGGUGGGAACCGCAAGGUGCACCAUCGACCGAUCCUGAUGUUUUCGGAUGGAUUUGAGUAGGAGCAUAGCUGUUGGGACCCGAAAGAUGGUGAACUAUGCCUGAAUAGGGUGAAGCCAGAGGAAACUCUGGUGGAGGCUCGCAGCGGUUCUGACGUGCAAAUCGAUCGUCAAAUUUGGGUAUAGGGGCGAAAGACUAAUCGAACCAU
rnacentral:rRNA from 1 species